AUGUUCCAUGAAUGGUAUUAUUAGCAGUAUGAUGGGUUUUUAGAUGUGGUGUCUGGUUAUAUGGGCAGGUUAGGCGGGUAGGUUAAUGGGCCGAAACUGGAGCACAAUGUUUCAUGAAUACUAUUAUGGAUGAAUUUCAUAUAUACCCUUACAAACUUUAAAAAUUUCAUUAUACCCAACCAAAACUAAAAAUAUCAUAUAUGCCCUUACAAAGUAGUUAAAAUAUCAAAUAUGUCAAAUUUAUUUAAAAUAUCUGUAACGCUUAAAUUUAUUUUUACCCACAAACAAUAGUAAACUCCAUAUAUAAUAUUUAAGCUAAAUAAAUUAUGCUAGAAAUGAGUAAAUAUAAUAUUUGAAGUUAAAGGUCAUAUAUGGGAUUUCAAGGUUUGAGAAAAAUAAGGGUAAAGUCAUUUAUCAAAUUGUUUUAAGUGAAUUGGGUAUAUACGACAUUUCAACUACUUUGUAAGGGUAUAUAUGAUAUUUAUAAUCUUGCAUGGGUAUAUAUGAUAUUUUGCAAGUUUGUAGGGGUAUAUAUGAAAUUGCCCCUAUUAUUAUUAGUUUUUAGACAGGUGAGAUGGGCGAGUCAGGCGGGUCGGUUAUGGGUUGAAACAGCAUAAUGUUGCAUGAAUGGUAUUAUUAGUGGUUGCAUUGCAUGAUGGGUUUUAAGAUGUGUAAGAUGGGCGGGUUGGUUAAUGGGCCGGAACUGGAGUAACGUUUCAUGAAUGGUAUUAUAGUUUUUAGACGUGGUGAGAUGGGCGGGGUGGUUUUGGCGGAGUUGCAAACAAUUAUAAUUACAAUAAUGGUUUGUAAAUGUUUGUAU